NNNNGAUCUGGCUGUCUAGGCAGGUGUCCCCUUCCUCCCUCACCGCUCACACAUGCAUCCCUCCUGAAGCUCCAAGCUCGGUCAAAGAGGACAACCACCCCCAGUAGAGGAGGACCGGUCUUCCGUCAAGGGUAGGGGAGUAGCUGGGGUUCCCUGCUGCUCUCCAGAGGGAGGGGAUAUAAUGAUACACAGAGCUGAUCCACUCCAGCCAUUCUUGCCUGGAGAAUCCCACGGACAGA
ensembl:misc_RNA 7SK 7SK RNA